rfam:Homo sapiens chromosome 12, GRCh38 reference primary assembly.
GCCGGGUGCAGUGGCUCGCGCCUGUAAUCCCAGCACUUUGGGAGGCUGAGGUGGGAGGAUCACUUGAGCCCAGGAGUUUGAGACCAGCCUGGGCAACAGAGUGAAACCCCAUCUCUU